rnacentral:rRNA from 1 species
CAGACUUAAAUUUUUAAACUUCUGCGUCUAAUUUUUAUCUUAAUUCAACAUCGAGGUCGCAAUCAUCUUUAUCAAUAUGGUCUAUCAAAAGAUAUUACGCUGUUAUCCCUAAGGUAAUUUAUUCUUUUAAUUAUAAUUUAUAGAUCAAAAAAUAUUUUCUAAUUAAAAUUAUUUAUAAGAUAAAGUUAUUUAUAUUUACCAAUCCUCCCAAUCAAAUUUAAAUUAAUUAUUUAUUUACAAAUAAUUUAAAUAAAUAAUUAUUUAAAUAAAAUUCUAUAGGGUCUUAUCGUCCCAUAAUUAAAUUUUAGCAUUUUAACUAAAAAUUUAAAUUCAUUCAAUAAAAUAGAGACAGUUGUUAUUUCAUCAAUUCGUUCAUUCAAUUCUUCAAUUAAAAGACAAUUUAUUAUGCUACCUUUGUACAGUCAAUAUACUGCAGCUAUUUAAAUUUUACUUCAUGGAGCAGAUCGACCUA